UACGUAGGGCGCAAGCGUUUGUCCGGAAUUAUUGGGCGUAAAGAGCUCGUAGGCGGUUUGUCGCGUCUGCCGUGAAAACCCGAGGCUUAACCUCGUGGCUUGCGGUGGAUACGGGCAGACUAGAGGUAUGCAGGGGAGAACGGAAUUCCUGGUGUAGCGGUGGAAUGCGCAGAUAUCAGGAGGAACACCGGUGGCGAAGGCGGUUCUCUGGGCAUUACCUGACGCUGAGGAGCGAAAGUGUGGGGAGCGAACAGG
rnacentral:rRNA from 1 species